UCUAUUUUAUACAGCUAUAGGAUAGCAUUUCCGAUCACUUUGCCCAGUGCGGAAAUUAAAAUGAAAUAGCUACGCAUAUGGUUAUAUUAGUGCUAUUGAGGAGAUGUAUCGCUCCAAAAAGUCGAAAUAUGCCCAAAUUUAUUUUACUAUCGACUUUCGUUCAAACAACAAGACCAUGGCACUCGAUAGCCAACCAAUACUACCACCGAAAUUACGACGUGAAGAAUGUGAUUUUUUUCCUAUCACCUUAUACUACCUAU